rnacentral:rRNA from 1 species
GAUGAACGCUGGCGGCGUGCCUAAUACAUGCAAGUCGAGCGAACAGAUGAGGAGCUUGCUCCUCUGACGUUAGCGGCGGACGGGUGAGUAACACGUGGAUAACCUACCUAUAAGACUGGGAUAACUUCGGGAAACCGGAGCUAAUACCGGAUAAUAUAUUGAACCGCAUGGUUCAAUAGUGAAAGACGGUUUUGCUGUCACUUAUAGAUGGAUCCGCGCCGCAUUAGCUAGUUGGUAAGGUAACGGCUUACCAAGGCAACGAUGCGUAGCCGACCUGAGAGGGUGAUAGGCCACACUGGAACUGGGGCACGGUCCAGACUCCUAAGGGAGGCAGCAGUAGGGAAUCGUCCGCAAUGGGGGAAAGCCUGACGGAGCAACGCCGCGUGAGUGAUGAAGGUCUUCGGAUCGUAAAACUCUGUUAUUAGGGAAGAACCAAUGUGUAAGUAACUAUGCACGUCUUGACGGUACCUAAUCAGAAAGCCACGGCUAACUACGUG